rnacentral:rRNA from 1 species
AUUGAACGCUGGCGGCAGGCUUAACACAUGCAAGUCGAGCGGUAACAGAGAGAAGCUUGCUUCUCUGCUGACGAGCGGCGGACGGGUGAGUAAUGCCUAGGAAUCUGCCUAGUAGUGGGGGAUAACUUGCCGAAAGGUAAGCUAAUACCGCAUACGUCCUACGGGAGAAAGGAGGGGACCUUCGGGCCUUUCGCUAUUAGAUGAGCCUAGGUCGGAUUAGUUAGUUGGUGAGGUAAUGGCUCACCAAGACCGCGAUCCGUAACUGGUCUGAGAGGAUGAUCAGUCACACUUGAACUGAGACACGGUCCAGAGUCCUACGGGAGGCAGCAGUGGGUAAUAUUGGACAAUGGGGGGAACCCUGAUCCAGCCAUGCCGCGUGUGUGAAGAAGGUCUUAGGAUUGUAAAGCACUUUAAGUUGGGAGGCAGAGCAGUUAACUAAUAUUUGACUGUUUUGACGUUACCGACAGAAUAAGCACCGGCUAACUUCGUGCCAGCAGCCGCGGUAA